AUCAUCUUGUGAGCAUCUGGGCCAAGUUCAGGGCUGGUGCUCUCGUUCAGAUAGAUUUAGCUGGUGGUGCAGAGAUCCGUGAGCUUGCUUUUACAGGACUUUAAUGAUAUAUAAAAGCAGCACGAGGUGCUCCUGACUGUGGAUUAAUUUGGAGAUGACUUUCUCUGUUGAAGAGUAGCAAGACUCUCGCGAGUUCUUAAAAAUGCACUUGUUUGGUAUGAGAAUGAAAAGCAGUGGCUGAAGAACCAAUCUUCAAUGGGCAAGCCUUCUCUGUGUCUGUUCUAACACGUGCCAUUUGGGAUCCCUUGGAAUCUUCAUGUACAGAACUGGUUGCUGCCUCGUUGAGUCGGUGGGGACAGAAUAGCUCCUGGUUGACAGCAUGGGUUGUGCAGAAGGACGGAUCCUGCAGACAUCAAUAUCUGGCUUUGAGUGGCACAAAGAAAUAAAGGAAUGUGGAUUCAGACCUCACUGGGAUGCUUGGCAAUUCUAAUUCUACCCCAGACUGCAAAUGGACACACAACUGUUGUGACUUUUGUUGAAGAGGAGAAGGAUGGACUUGCCCUGAAUUCUUUCAUGUGCAAUAUCCGAAAACCCUCUCUUGGGGCCUGGAUCAGGACCCCUUUCCUAUAACAUCUUUCUGGCGACAACAAAGGGACAAUGGUGUGGAAUCCCCCUUCCCAAAUGCUACUUUUAGAUAUCACCUUUUGUCGGAACUUGGAGUUGGUAAUGACCUUCACCAUACCACCACUCUGGGACUGAGCUUCUCUCUACCCUGAUGCAAGAGACCCUAAUAGGCAGGAAUAUGACCACCCCUAUUCAGCCUGAAGAAGUUACAGAAGUUCUGAAACCCUUAGAAAUGAGGGUCUUCUUGUAAAGGGAGUGGGGAGAUAUAUCAGAGGCAUUUGAACCAGAGCAACUCCAUCUUGAGUGAGGGCUAGGAAAAUGAGGCUAGGACUUGCUGGGCUGCAUUCUCAGAAAGUCAGUCAUUCCUAGCCUCUAGAUGUUUACGGUUAAGGGAACAAAUUUAUAACAUUUACUAAACACACCCAGACUUGGGAGUGUCCAGAUAUCCCAAUAUCUGGAGAACAAAGGCAUUCCUAAUUUUGCUUUAAAGACAAUAAUAUUGAUUCUUGCAAAAUAUAGUAAUUAAGAAAAUUAAUCCUUUAUCACAAACCCUUGUAGUAAAACACAUCUCCCCAUAUAUACAAGCAUUGUACCUAAGGUGGAUGCGUUCCAUCUCUUACUUUCAGGAAUGUCCUACACUAUCUAAGGAGUAGCUGUACUUUCACCACUUUACUUUCUUAAUAAACUUGUUUUUACUUUGCACCAA
rnacentral:lncRNA from 1 species